rnacentral:rRNA from 1 species
AUGACAAGCAAUCCAAGGAGCUCCGCCUCCCUCUUCUUCUCCUCCACCCCCACUGGCGAUGGAGGCGAGGUGAAAAUUCCCCACCAACCGGAGCGCUUGCCUGCCGAUGGAGGGCUCAGCCAGGCUCCGUCUGCCGUCUCCCGCCUCGACGGCGCCGCCCCGCCACGGCGGAGGGUCCCUGUGGCGGCUGCUCCCUUUGGCCCAGCCCGCCUCCCGAGCGGUCUCCGCCAAGGUGCUUCCCUCCUCCCCUAUCUUGUGGGUUGCGGGGGAUGUUGCAUUGGAAUGGAAGGUGAAGAAGGUACGCGGCGUGGACGGCGACCGAGGAGCUGCGGCAGGCCACGCUGGUGGAGGACCUGUAGGGGCGGCGGGUGCGGGAGGCCGAGGCGGGCAGGCGUCGCCAAUGGCGGGACGAGCAACUCGAGCAGGAGGGCGACGCCAAGCUCGGCUGGGGCCUCCCGGGCGAUGCCUACGACCGCUGCGGUGAGGUCUACGCCGAGUACGCCGCCUUCUACCUCGUAUUGCUUCCAAUACCGCGGUAUUGGAGUAUUGCUUCCAAAUUCUAGAGUAGCAAAUAAUUUGAUCGAAAAGGGACGGCAUGCUGAGGUGUACAAAGGACAACUUGCUGAUGGACAGUUUGUGGCAGUGAAGAGAUGCAUCAUUAAGCAGCAGGAGUACUCAUUUGUACUGGAUAAAGUGAUGAAAAAGAAGAAAAGAUUACUAGAAGAUUAG